rnacentral:rRNA from 1 species
AGCGAACGCUGGCGGCAUGCCUAACACAUGCAAGUCGCACGGGGGGGCUUCGGCCUCCCAGUGGCGGACGGGUGAGGAACGCGUAGGGACCUGUCGAGGGGUGGGGGAUAACCGCGGGAAACUGCGGCUAAUACCGCAUGACGCCGCGGCGUGACAGCCGGGGCCAAAGGCGCAAGCGGCCCGCCGAGGGGCCUGCGGCCGAUUAGCCGGUUGGCGGGGUAGCGGCCCACCAAGGCGGCGAUCGGUAGCUGGUCUGGGAGGGUGAUCAGCCACACCGGGACUGAGACACGGCCCGGACUCCUACGGGAGGCAGCAGUGGGGAAUAUUGGACAAUGGGCGCAAGCCUGAUCCAGCAAUGCCGCGUGGGUGAAGAAGGUCUUCGGAUUGUAAAGCCCUUUCGGCGGGGACGAUGGUGACGGUACCCGCAGAAGAAGCCCCGGCUAACUUCGUG